UACGCUGGCAAAAAAAACCCACCCCACCUUUAUCCUCUCUCUCUCUCCCACGACUUCUCCUUCCCAGCCGGGACCUCCCCACGCCGCCGCACCAAGUCCCCCUCCCCACGUGCCGCCACACCACCUACUCCCACCCACCGCGCCGUCGGACCACCUCCUCCCUCCCGCACCGCCGCAGCACCUCCUCUGCCUCGCGCCGCCGCACCACCUUCUCCCCCAGCGUCGCCGCACCACCUUCUCCCCCAGCGCCGCCGCACCACCUUCUCCCCCGCGCCGCCGCACCACCUCCUCCCUCGUGCGCGUCGCAUCACAUCCUUCCCCGUAGCCAGCCACGCCGGCCACCUUCCUACGGCAUCCUUGGACAGGCACCACCACCCCGAGCCCGGAUCUGUGCGGUGGUGCCCCUUCCUUGCCGAUGGAUUCGAACCACCCUUGAUCGGUGCCACGCAAGCUCCCUCCCCAAGCCCAUCGCGCCGCCCGGGCCUAGCUCCUUGCAGUGCCCCUCUUGAACGCCGGCCGGCGGGAUCCCUGGCUCCAGCGACACUGCAACCUCCUCAGCGCCGCCCGACACCUCUAACAGAGCCCCCGCCCCCGACCCAUGCUGCUGGGUCUGGUGACCCCAGCCAUGGAUCCAUGGAUCCCGCGCCGGAUCCAAGUUCAAGAUCUCACUAAGAUCCGUUGUGGUUCUCUUCUUCCCAACAACAGAAGAUGCGGUGUGGCUACGACACGGUUGAAGUUCAGGACAUCUUUUGUUGCUUUUUCAUAUUUUGCGAGGCGUCCAUCGGCGAGCUCUCCCCCGACAUGUCGUGCAACUCGCCGGUCCACAUCGUGUGGUUCACCGGCCAUGUGACUGUAGUGCAGUCGACCCCCUCGUGUGCGGCAUGCAGCUCGGAGCAAGCGAGCAUGUAGUUUAGUCCCCUGUUUGUGGUUUUUUGGCGUGUCUAUUCGAAUGUAUCUGGUUGGGAUAUGAUGUAUUGUGUGUAAAAAAAUGUUGAGAAGUUCAUUUCAACAA